GUAGUCGUGGCCGAGUGGUUAAGGCGAUGGACUUGAAAUCCAUUGGGGUCUCCCCGCGCUGGUUCGAAUCUUCCGGCUGCGCUCGUCUUCU